rnacentral:rRNA from 1 species
AGUGAACGCUGGCGGUAGGCCUAACACAUGCAAGUCGAACGGCAGCACAGGAGAGCUUGCUCUCUGGGUGGCGAGUGGCGGACGGGUGAGGAAUACAUCGGAAUCUACUCUGUCGUGGGGGAUAACGUAGGGAAACUUACGCUAAUACCGCAUACGACCUACGGGUGAAAGCAGGGGACCUUCGGGCCUUGCGCGAUUGAAUGAGCCGAUGUCGGAUUAGCUAGUUGGCGGGGUAAAGGCCCACCAAGGCGACGAUCCGUAGCUGGUCUGAGGGGAUGAUCAGCCACACUGGAACUGUGACACGGUCCAGACUCCCACGGGAGGCAGCAGUGGGGAAUAUUGGACAAUGGGCGCAAGCCUGAUCCAGCCAUACCGCGUGGGUGAAGAAGGCCUUCGGGUUGUAAAGCCCUUUUGUUGGGAAAGAAAUCCAGCUGGCUAAUACCCGGUUGGGAGGACGGUACCCAAAGAAUAAGCACCGGCUAACUUCGUGCCAGCAGCCGCCGUAA